GAAACAGAUGGGAAUCAAAAAGACUGAAUGAAGCAGAAACCCAGAAGCUACCCCACAGGCAAUCGCAUGGGACUCAGAUGUUAAUGGACAAUAAGCUUUUAUUGCACAGAAAGGUCAUUGCAGUCAGAGGUUGGGGAUUGCUUGCUGCUACAGCCGAAUGGAUUCUAUUCUGACCAAUACAGAAGGAAAGAAAUCAUAGACGCCCUGCCUGAGCAGAAGGGAGGUGAUAGAUGAAAUGAACUGUAUGAAGAUCCACCAGCCUGGCCCACACGUGGAAGAAGGACUGGCCCGUCUUCUUGAAGCCCAAGCUCUGGUAGAGGCCCAUGGCAGAGAGCUGGAUGUUGCUGGUGUCCAGGACAACUUCACUGUAGCCCUAGUCCCGGGCAAACUGGAGGACAGUCCUGACCAGGGCUUUUGCUAUCCCCUGACCACGGUGCUCAUUGUCCACAGAGAGAUGAAACAGCUGCAACCGCUUCUCCCUCAAGGUGGGAUCAUCAACGGGCAGAGCUCCUACUGUGCCCACCACCUUCUCUUCAGAUUCACCCACCCAGAAGCAGGAGCCACACUCACUCAGUUUAAAAGUCUUCAGUUCCAGUUCAUUUUCAAUUCCUGAAUAAAGGGAUGAGUCUUGGAGCUUCUGGAAGCUGGCCUGGAACUGAGCACUUACUGCAGACAGUGCCUGAAGUGCAAACCCAAAGGUGCGUAGAUCUGGGCUGCAUGUGAAAGCUUUCAUAUUCAGGUCUUACUUUGCGACAGUGAGGGGUGACCAGGGAAGCCUAUAUGAGGGGCGGGGGCAAACCAAGGCAGCCUGGGAGCUGCCUUAACCACCUCUCACCUCACUUCCUCAGAGAUAAGGUUUUCUUGAAGGGAACGUGCAGAUUUAUACAAAAUACUAACAAGCUGAGAUUUUAAUUUUUUAAGCAAUAAGGAAAAACAGAACUUUUCACUCCAAAGACCCUGUGUUAGGCUCGGCAGAACUGGUGGCACAUCUCAGGAGUCAUGGGGCAAUGCUCUCAGAAACAAUGUUAGGGAAAAAAAAAAAAAAACGAAAAACAAUGAAGAGGCUUAAUUCUUCUUGUUAAAGGAAGAGGUAUCCUCUGUCCCUUUUCUUAGAGCAUUUUGUUUGGAAAACUUGUCAUUUUAAAUCCUUCCUCUGCCCCUUUGAGGGGCAUGCAAAGCUUUUUGACAGCUAAAUAAGCCUCUUGCCAGCUUUGCAACCCAGGACUGUGUUCCUGAAGGACCUGGGAUCCCAAUCUUUGAAACGUUAUCAUCAGAGCAGCCAGGUCCCUAUCUCCCAGUCUCCAUGGGAGGGCAGGAACCUAACUUUUGCCCUGUGUGAUAAAUCUACCUCCUAUCAUAAAGAUAAGGGUUGUUUUUCCUUUGUAUGAAGUCAAAUAGCAGACGCAGGUUGUCGAGUGAAUUGAGGUUGAAUCUCUGUAAACUCGGUGUGACCAAAAGUGCUGUGCAGGCCCCCUGACCUGAGGACUAGGCAUGGCUUCUCUUGAGAACGUGUGCAAUGGUUUGGACCCACUGGCUAGAUUAGCGGUGAGAUUUCUGUCUGUCUUUGCAGCUUCUUAGCGGAUCAUUGCCCGUGAUGCGCAUCUCACUCUGGGUUAAUCCUUU
rnacentral:lncRNA from 1 species